CAAUAGCGUAUAUUAAAGUUGUUGCAGUUAAAAAGCUCGUAGUUGGAUUUCGGGGCAGCCUGGCUGGUCCGCCGCAAGGCGAGUACUGGUCAGCCGCCCUUCCUCUCGAAAGCCCCGACUGCUCUUCGUUGCAGUGGUCGGGUAGUUCGGGACGUUUACUUUGAAAAAAUUAGAGUGUUCAAGGCAGGCCUACGCCUGAAUACAUUAGCAUGGAAUAAUGGAAGAGGACCUCGGUCCUAUUUUGUUGGUUUCCAGGGCCGAAGUAAUGAUUAAGAGGGACAGUUGGGGGCAUUCGUAUUUAAUUGUCAGAGGUGAAAUUCUCGGAUUUAUGAAGGACGAACAACUGCGAAAGCAUUUGCCAAGGAUGUUUUCAUUAA
rnacentral:rRNA from 1 species